UCCUGGCUCAGAUUGAACGCUAGCGGGAUGCUUUACACAUGCAAGUCGAACGGCAGCACGAGAGAGCUUGCUCUCUUGGUGGCGAGUGGCGGACGGGUGAGUAAUAUAUCGGAACGUGCCUAGUAGCGGGGGAUAACUACUCGAAAGAGUGGCUAAUACCGCAUACGCCCUACGGGGGAAAGGGGGGGAUCGCAAGACCUCUCACUAUUAGAGCGGCCGAUAUCGGAUUAGCUAGUUGGUGGGGUAAAGGCUCACCAAGGCAACGAUCCGUAGCUGGUUUGAGAGGACGACCAGCCACACUGGGACUGAGACACGGCCCAGACUCCUACGGGAGGCAGCAGUGGGGAAUUUUGGACAAUGGGGGAAACCCUGAUCCAGCCAUCCCGCGUGUAUGAUGAAGGCCUUCGGGUUGUAAAGUACUUUUGGCAGAGAAGAAAAGGUACCUCCUAAUACGAGGUACUGCUGACGGUAUCUGCAGAAUAAGCACCGGCUAACUACGUGCCAGCAGCCGCGGUAAUACGUAGGGUGCAAGCGUUAAUCGGAAUUACUGGGCGUAAAGCGUGUGUAGGCGGUUCGGAAAGAAAGACGUGAAAUCCCAGGGCUAACCUUGGAACUGCAUUUUUAACUGCCGAGCUAGAGUAUGUCAGAGGGGGGUAGAAUUCCACGUGUAGCAGUGAAAUGCGUAGAUAUGUGGAGGAAUACCGAUGGCGAAGGCAGCCCCCUGGGAUAAUACUGACGCUCAGACACGAAAGCGUGGGGAGCAAACAGGAUUAGAUACCCUGGUAGUCCACGCCCUAAACGAUGUCAACUAGCUGUUGGGGCCGUUAGGCCUUAGUAGCGCAGCUAACGCGUGAAGUUGACCGCCUGGGGAGUACGGUCGCAAGAUUAAAACUCAAAGGAAUUGACGGGGACCCGCACAAGCGGUGGAUGAUGUGGAUUAAUUCGAUGCAACGCGAAAAACCUUACCUACCCUUGACAUGUCUGGAAUCCCGAAGAGAUUUGGGAGUGCUCGCAAGAGAACCGGAACACAGGUGCUGCAUGGCUGUCGUCAGCUCGUGUCGUGAGAUGUUGGGUUAAGUCCCGCAACGAGCGCAACCCUUGUCAUUAGUUGCUACGCAAGAGCACUCUAAUGAGACUGCCGGUGACAAACCGGAGGAAGGUGGGGAUGACGUCAAGUCCUCAUGGCCCUUAUGGGUAGGGCUUCACACGUCAUACAAUGGUCGGGACAGAGGGUCGCCAACCCGCGAGGGGGAGCCAAUCUCAGAAACCCGAUCGUAGUCCGGAUCGCAGUCUGCAACUCGACUGCGUGAAGUCGGAAUCGCUAGUAAUCGCGGAUCAGAAUGUCGCGGUGAAUACGUUCCCGGGUCUUGUACACACCGCCCGUCACACCAUGGGAGUGGGUUUCACCAGAAGUAGGUAGCCUAACCGUAAGGAGGGCGCUUACCACGGUGGGAUUCAUGACUGGGGUGAAGUCGUAACAAGGUAGCCGUAAAU
rnacentral:rRNA from 1 species